rnacentral:rRNA from 1 species
GUUAACGCUGGCGGUAUGUAUAAUACAUGCAAGUCGAGUGGGUUUAGGCCCACGGCGAACGGCUGAGUAACACGUUGGAACUUUCCCCGAACUCAGGGAUAACCCGCAGAAAUGCGGGGUAAUACCGGAUAGUCCCGAAAGGGUAAAGAUUUUUCGGUUCGGGAGGGGCCUGCGGCCUAUCAGCUUGUUGGUGAGGUAACGGCUCACCAAGGCUAUGACGGGUAACUGGUCUGAGAGGAUGACCAGUCAGAAUGGAACUGAGACACGGUCCAUACUCCUACGGGAGGCAGCAGUAAAGAAUCUUCCACAAUGGGCGAAAGCCUGAUGGAGCAAUACCGCGUGAGCGAUGAAGGUCGAAAGAUUGUAAAGCUCUUUUCUGAAGGAAUAAUUCUGAAGGUACUUCAGGAAUAAGCACCGGCUAACUCCGU